CACCAGCCCCUCGAGUGGUGGGGAUGAUUAUUUGGCCUAAAGCGUCCGUAGCCGGCCGGGUAAGUUUCCCGUUAAAUCCACCGUCUCAAGCGUUGGACUGCGGGAAAUACUGCCUGGCUAGAGAGUGGGAGAGGUCAGCGGUAUUCUGGGGGUAGGGGCGAAAUCCUUUGAUCCCCGGAGGACCACCAGUGGCGAAGGCUGCUGACUAGAACACGUCUGACGGUCAGGGACGAAAGCUGGGGUAGCGAACCGGAUUAGAUACCCGGGUAGUCCCAGCCGUAAACGAUGCAUGCUAGGUGUUGGGUUGGCCACGAGCCACCCCAGUGCCGCAGGGAAGUCGUUAAGCAUGCCGCCUGGGAAGUACGAUCGCAAGAUUGAAACUUAAAGGAAUUGGCGGGGGAGCACCACCAGGCGUGAAGCCUGCGGUUU
rnacentral:rRNA from 1 species